GGGCCCGUAGCUCAAUUGGCAGAGCAAUUCCCUCUUAAGGAAUAGGUUGAGCGUUCGAUUCGCUCCGGGCUCA
rnacentral:tRNA from 1 species